UAUAAAAUAAAAAUGCGUUCAGUCAUCACGUUUGCCGAAAGUUUUUGAAAAACAAGCAAACAUGCCCUUGAGAAUCCCAUCUCGUCUCCUUCCAUGGCAGCCUCUCUUCCUCUUCUUAUUAGUAAUCUCAUGGCUUCUCUCUUCUUCUCAUGGUGACGUUGGCACUGCUGCCCAUUACAGUCCACCAUAUUUACGUAAGUACUCUUUCAACCAUACCCUUACCUUUACCACACCACUCCACUUUUUUUCUCAUUAAUUUCCAUGUUCUUUGCUGUAUAGCCACCGCCUGCUACGGCAACGAUGCAUCGCAGUUUCCUUCCAAUAAUUUAUUUGCGGCGGCCGGCAAUGGAAUAUGGGACAAUGGGGCAUCCUGUGGGAGAGAGUAUUUGGUCAGGUGCAUUAGUGCCACGGUUGCCGGUUCUUGCCAACCCGGUCAAACGAUUCAAGUCAAGAUCGUUGAUUAUGCUCUUUCAACACCUACUCCGCCGUCGGCUAGCGGAAAGACCAUUGUCUUGUCGGAAACUGCCUUUGGGAGAAUCGCCAAUCCAUCGGCUACUUCUAUCAAUAUAGAAUUUCAACAGGUAUGAUAGACAGGAAGGAUCAGAUGAAUGGAGGUGAGCGGAAGGGAAGAGGAAGGAAGGAAAGAGUUUCAUAAUUAAUUAAUUAAUUUUUGUGUAAUGUAUUAGUAAAAAUUUUGUUUCUAGAUUGAUAGUGAAAUUUGAAAAGAUUUGUCACAUCAAUAUUCUGGUAUAGUUUGGUAUAAAGUUUCAUAAUAAUAAAAAAAAAU
rnacentral:misc_RNA from 1 species